rnacentral:rRNA from 1 species
AGUGAACGCUGGCGGUAGGCCUAACACAUGCAAGUCGAACGGCAGCACAGUAAGAGCUUGCUCUUACGGGUGGCGAGUGGCGGACGGGUGAGGAAUACAUCGGAAUCUACUUUUUCGUGGGGGAUAACGUAGGGAAACUUACGCUAAUACCGCAUACGACCUACGGGUGAAAGCAGGGGAUCUUCGGACCUUGCGCGAUUGAAUGAGCCGAUGUCGGAUUAGCUAGUUGGCGGGGUAAAGGCCCACCAAGGCGACGAUCCGUAGCUGGUCUGAGAGGAUGAUCCGCCACACUGGCACUGAGGCACGGUCCAGACUCCUACGGGAGGCAGCAGUGGGGAAUAUUGGACAAUGGGCGCAAGCCUGAUCCAGCCAUACCGCGUGGGUGAAGAAGGCCUUCGGGUUGUAAAGCCCUGUUGUUGGGAAAGAAAAGCAGCAGGUUAAUACCCCGCUGUUCUGACGGUACCCAAAGAAUAAGCACCGGCUAACUUCGUG